rnacentral:rRNA from 1 species
GCUCAACCGAGGAAGUGCUUCGAAAACUGGUAAACUUGAGUGCAGAAGAGGAAAGUGGAACUCCAUGUGUAGCGGUGGAAUGCGUAGAUAUAUGGAAGAACACCAGUGGCGAAGGCGGCUUUCUGGUCUGUAACUGACGCUGAGAUUCGAAAGCAUGGGUAGCAAACAGGAUUAGAUACCCUGGUAGUCCAUGCCGUAAACGAUGAGUGCUAAGUGUUGGAGGGUUUCCGCCCUUCAGUGCUGCAGCUAACGCAUUAAGCACUCCGCCUGGGGAGUACGAUCGCAAGAUUGAAACUCAAAGGAAUUGACGGGGGCCCGCACAAGCGGUGGAGCAUGUGGUUUAAUUCGAAGCAACGCGAAGAACCUUACCAGGUCUUGACAUACCAUGAAAAGCUUAGAGAUAAGUCUUUCCCUUCGGGGACAUGGAUACAGGUGGUGCAUGGUUGUCGUCAGCUCGUGUCGUGAGAUGUUGGGUUAAGUCCCGCAACGAGCGCAACCCUUAUUAUCAGUUGCCAGCAUUCAGUUGGGCACUCUGGUGAGACUGCCGGUGAUAAACCGGAGGAAGGUGGGGACGACGUCAAAUCAUCAUGCCCCUUAUGACCUGUGCUACACACGUGCUACAAUGGUCGGUACAACG